AUGCAUCCCAUUCUUCCAUUUCUUUCUUUGCUUUUUCUUCGUCCUGUCCCUUUGUUUCGUCCUGCUUUUCUAAUAAAAUGACAAGAUCAAUAUCAGAGGAAGGAAGA
rnacentral:ribozyme from 1 species